GACGAACGCUGGCGGCGUGCUUAACACAUGCAAGUCGAGCGGUAAGGCCCUUUCGGGGGUACACGAGCGGCGAACGGGUGAGUAACACGUGGGUGACCUGCCUUUAGCUCUGGGAUAAGCCUGGGAAACUGGGUCUAAUACCGGAUAUGACCCUAUGGCGCAUGUUGUGGGGUGGAAAGCCUUGUGCGGCUAGGGAUGGGCCCGCGGCCUAUCAGCUUGUUGGUGGGGUGAUGGCCUACCAAGGCGACGACGGGUAGCCGGCCUGAGAGGGCGACCGGCCACACUGGGACUGAGAC
rnacentral:rRNA from 1 species